CAGCAAGAGAGAUUUUAGGAACCUUUGAAUUGAUUUACUGCUCUGGCAUUAAGAUUGAAAAAGCAUGGGUCCUGAAAAAGUGUUACCACUGCUACUAAUACUAACAACUCAGAAGAUGAUGGCUGCACAGACAACUACAAAUCCUACAACCAUCACAAGUGCUUAUUCAACAACAAACAAAGUGGCAACAAC